rnacentral:rRNA from 1 species
UACGGGGGGAGCAAGCGUUGUUCGGAUUUACUGGGCGUAAAGGGCGCGUAGGCGGCGACCGAAGGUCGAUUGGGAAAUCUCCGGGCUUAACUCGGAAAGGUCAACUGAUACUGCGGGGCUAGAGUGCGGAAGGGGCAACUGGAAUUCUCGGUGUAGCGGUGAAAUGCGUAGAUAUCGAGAGGAACACCUGCGGCGAAGGCGGGUUGCUGGGCCGACACUGACGCUGAUGCGCGAAAGCCAGGGGAGCGAACGGG